rnacentral:rRNA from 1 species
AAACUUUCAACAACGGAUCUCUUGGUUCUGGCAUCGAUGAAGAACGCAGCGAAAUGCGAUAAGUAAUGUGAAUUGCAGAAUUCAGUGAAUCAUCGAAUCUUUGAACGCACAUUGCGCCCUGUGGUAUUCUGCAGGGCAUGCCUGUUCGAGCGUCAUU